rnacentral:rRNA from 1 species
AGGGAAUCUUCCGCAAUGGACGAAAGUCUGACGGAGCAACGCCGCGUGAGUGAAGAAGGUCUUCGGAUCGUAAAACUCUGUUAUCAGGGAAGAACAAGUACCGGAGUCACUGCCGGUACCUUGACGGUACCUGACCAGAAAGCCACGGCUAACUACGUGCCAGCAGCCGCGGUAAUACGUAGGUGGCAAGCGUUGUCCGGAAUUAUUGGGCGUAAAGCGCGCGCAGGCGGUUCUUUAAGUCUGAUGUGAAAUCUUGCGGCCCAACCGUGAGCGGUCAUUGGAAACUGGAGAACUUGAGUGCAGAAGAGAAGAGCGGAAUUCCACGUGUAGCGGUGAAAUGCGUAGAGAUGUGGAGGAACACCAGUGGCGAAGGCGGCUCUUUGGUCUGUAACUGACGCUGAGGCGCGAAAGCGUGGGGAGCGAAC